AUGCCACCGGAUCGGAACAUAGAGUUUUUGAUCGAAUUGGUACCAGGCACCGGACCAAUAUCCAAGAGACCGAACCGGAUGUCCGCAAAUGAUCUGGAGGAAAUUAAGAAUCAGAUUAUGGAAUUAUUGGAGAAAGGUUAUAUUCGACCGAGUUCAUCACCUUGGGGAGCCCCAGUGCUUCUAGUUGAGAAGAAGGAUGGAACCUUGAGAAUGGUUGUAGAUUUUCGUGCGCUAAACGAGGUGACGAUUAAGAACAAGUACCCUCUGCCAAUGAUCAAUGAUUUGUUUGACCAGCUACAAGGAGCAAAAGUUUUCUCAAAGAUUGAUCUUUGA
rnacentral:rRNA from 1 species